AAUUUACAAGAAACCAUUGCCUCCUCCAAUUCCAAUAUUUAAGAAGCCACUUCCUCCCCCCAUUCCAAUAUUCAAGAAACCACUUCCACCUCCUAUUCCAAUUUAUAAGAAACCAUUGCCACCCCCAAUCCCAAUAUUUAAGAAACCACUUCCUCCUCCUAUUCCAAUAUUUAAGAAACCUAAACCACCAAUAUUCUAUAAGCCUCUCCCUCCCUUCUCAAAGAUCCCUCCAUUUCAUCAUAAGAAGCCAUUCCCUCCUCUUCCCAAGUUUCCUCCAAAUUAAGUACUUCCCCCACUUCUAGUUAUCCCUUGUCACCCUUUUCUUCUGGUCAUUUAUAUGUUAUAUAUUCUG
rnacentral:misc_RNA from 1 species